CCUACGGGUGGCAGCAGUGGGGAAUAUUGCACAAUGGGGGGAACCCUGAUGCAGCAACGCCGCGUGGGUGAAGAAGUACUUCGGUAUGUAAAGCCCUGUCAGCCGGGAAGAAAAUGCCGGUACCUGACCAAGAAGCACCGGCUAACGACGUGCCAGCAGCCGCGGUAAUACGUAGGGGGCAAGCGUUAUCCGGAUUUACUGGGUGUAAAGGGAGGGUAGACGGGAAGGCAAGUCUGGAGGGAAAGCCCGGGGCACAACCACGGGACUGCUUUGGAAACUGUGUUGCUGGAGUGGAGGAGGGGUAAGCGGAAUUCCUAGUGUAGCGGUGAAAUGUUUAGAUAUUAGGAGGAACACCGGUGGCGAAGGCGGCUUACUGGACUGUAACUGACGUUGAGGCUCGAAGGCGUGGGUAGCAAACAGGAUUAGAUACCCCUGUAGUC
rnacentral:rRNA from 1 species